UGAGGCAGGACAGCAAAGGUAUGUUGCU
rnacentral:piRNA from 1 species